UACGUAGGGUGCGAGCGUUGUCCGGAAUUAUUGGGCGUAAAGGGCUCGUAGGCGGUCUGUUGCGUCGGAAGUGAAAACUCAGGGCUUAACCCUGAGCCUGCUUCCGAUACGGGCAGACUAGAGGUAUGCAGGGGGAGAACGGAAUUCCUGGUGUAGCGGUGGAAUGCGCAGAUAUCAGGAAGAACACCGACGGCGAAGGCAGCUCGCUGGGACGGUACUGACGCUGAGGCGCGAAAGCGUGGG
rnacentral:rRNA from 1 species